UGCGGAGGAUGCAAGCGUUAUCCGGAUUUAUUGGGUUUAAAGGGUGCGCAGGUUGUUUGAUAAGUCAGUGGUGAAAGUCUGUCGCUUAACGGUAGGAUUGCCAUUGAUACUGUUGGACUUGAAUGUGGAUGAGGUAGGCGGAAUGUGUAGUGUAGCGGUGAAAUGCUUAGAUAUUACACAGAACACCGAUUGCGAAGGCAGCUUACUAAUCCAUGAUUGACGCUGAGGCACGAAAGCGUGGGGAUCAAACA
rnacentral:rRNA from 1 species